rnacentral:rRNA from 1 species
CCUACGGGAGGCAGCAGUGAGGAAUAUUGGUCAAUGGACGCAAGUCUGAACCAGCCAUGCCGCGUGCAGGAAGACGGCUCUAUGAGUUGUAAACUGCUUUUGUACGAGGGUAAACGCAGAUACGCGUAUCUGUCUGAAAGUAUCGUACGAAUAAGGAUCGGCUAACUCCGUGCCAGCAGCCGCGGUAAUACGGAGGAUUCAAGCGUUAUCCGGAUUUAUUGGGUUUAAGGGGUGCGUAGGCGGUCGGAUAAGUUAGAGGUGAAAUCCCGAGGCUCAACUUCGGAAUUGCCUCUGAUACUGUUUGGCUAGAGAGUAGAUGCGGUAGGCGGAAUGUAUGGUGUAGCGGUGAAAUGCUUAGAGAUCAUACAGAACACCGAUUGCGAAGGCAGCUUACCAAGCUACUACUGACGUUGAGGCACGAAAGCGUGGGGAGCAAACAGGAUUAGAUACCCCAGUAGUC